AGUGAACGCUGGCGGUAGGCCUAACACAUGCAAGCCGAACGGCAGCACAGUAAGAGCUUGCUCUUACGGGUGGCGAGUGGCGGACGGGUGAGGAAUACAUCGGAAUCUACUUUUUCGUGGGGGAUAACGUAAGGAAACUUACGCUAAUACCGCAUACGACCUACGGGUGAAAGCAGGGGAUCUUCGGACCUUGCGCGAUUGAAUGAGCCGAUGUCGGAUUAGCUAGUUGGCGGGGUAAAGGCCCACCAAGGCGACGAUCCGUAGCUGGUCUGAGAGGAUGAUCAGCCACACUGGAACUGAGACACGGUCCAGACUCCUACGGGAGGCAGCAGUGGGGAAUAUUGGACAAUGGGCGCAAGCCUGAUCCAGCCAUACCGCGUGGGUGAAGAAGGCCUUCGGGUUGUAAAGCCCUUUUGUUGGGAAAGAAAAGCAGCAGGUUAAUACCCCGCUGUUCUGACGGUACCCAAAGAAUAAGCACCGGCUAACUUCGUG
rnacentral:rRNA from 1 species